rnacentral:rRNA from 1 species
UGGGGAAUUUUGGACAAUGGGCGCAAGCCUGAUCCAGCCAUGCCGCGUGCGGGAAGAAGGCCUUCGGGUUGUAAACCGCUUUUGUCAGGGAAGAAAUCUUCUGAGUUAAUACCUCGGGAGGAUGACGGUACCUGAAGAGUAAGCACCGGCUAACUACGUGCCAGCAGCCGCGGUAAUACGUAGGGUGCAAGCGUUAAUCGGAAUUACUGGGCGUAAAGCGUGCGCAGGCGGUUUUGUAAGACAGAGGUGAAAUCCCCGGGCUCAACCUGGGAACUGCCUUUGUGACUGCAAGGCUUGAGUGCGGCGGAGGGGGAUGGAAUUCCGCGUGUAGCAGUGAAAUGCGUAGAUAUGCGGAGGAACACCGAUGGCGAAGGCAAUCCCCUGGCCUGCACUGACGCUCAUGCACGAAAGCGUGGGGAGCAAAACAGGAUUAGAUACCCUGGUAGUCCACGCCCUAAACGAUGUCAACUGGUUGUUGGGAAGGUUCCUUCUCAGUAACGUAGCUAACGCGUGAAGCUGACCGCCUGGGGAGUACGGCCGCAAGGUUGAAACUCAAAUGAAUUGACGGGGUCAUAGCUGUUU